rnacentral:rRNA from 1 species
CUACACAUGCAGUCGAGCGGAACGAAGAGGUGCUUGCACCUCUGGCGUCGAGCGGCGGACGGGUGAGUAAUGCUUGGGAAUAUGCCUUAUGGUGGGGGACAACAGUUGGAAACGACUGCUAAUACCGCAUGAUGUCUACGGACCAAAGUGGGGGACCUUCGGGCCUCACGCCAUAAGAUUAGCCCAAGUGGGAUUAGCUAGUUGGUGAGGUAAUGGCUCACCAAGGCGACGAUCCCUAGCUGGUUUGAGAGGAUGAUCAGCCACACUGGGACUGAGACACGGCCCAGACUCCUACGGGAGGCAGCAGUGGGGAAUAUUGCACAAUGGGCGCAAGCCUGAUGCAGCCAUGCCGCGUGUGUGAAGAAGGCCUUCGGGUUGUAAAGCACUUUCAGUAAGGAGGAAAGGUUAAGUGUUAAUAGCACUUAGCUGUGACGUUACUUACAGAAGAAGCACCGGCUAACUCCGUGCCAGCAGCCGCGGUAAUACGGAGGGUGCGAGCGUUAAUCGGAAUUACUGGGCGUAAAGCGUACGCAGGCGGUUUGUUAAGCGAGAUGUGAAAGCCCCGGGCUCAACCUGGGAACUGCAUUUCGAACUGGCAAACUAGAGUGUGAUAGAGGGUGGUAGAAUUUCAGGUGUAGCGGUGAAAUGCGUAGAGAUCUGAAGGAAUACCGAUGGCGAAGGCAGCCACCUGGGUCAACACUGACGCUCAUGUACGAAAGCGUGGGGAGCAAACAGGAUUAGAUACCCUGGUAGUCCACGCCGUAAACGAUGUCUACUAGAAGCUCGGGUCUUCGGACUUGUUUUUCAAAGCUAACGCAUUAAGUAGACCGCCUGGGGAGUACGGCCGCAAGGUUAAAACUCAAAUGAAUUGACGGGGGCCCGCACAAGCGGUGGAGCAUGUGGUUUAAUUCGAUGCAACGCGAAGACCUUACCUACACUUGACAUACAGAGAACUUACCAGAGAUGGUUUGGUGCCUUCGGGAGCUCUGAUACAGGUGCUGCAUGGCUGUCGUCAGCUCGU